AUUGAACGCUGGCGGCAGGCCUAACACAUGCAAGUCGAACGAGUGGCGGACGGGUGAGUAAUGUCUGGGAAACUGCCUGAUGGAGGGGGAUAACUACUGGAAACGGUAGCUAAUACCGCAUACCAUCAGAUGUGCCCAGAGUGGAUUAGCUUGUUGGUGGGGUAACGGCUCACCAAGGCGACGAUCCCUAGCUGGUCGGAGAGGAUGAACAGCAACUAGGGAACGGAGACCCGGUCCAGACUCCAAGGGGAGGCAGCAGUGGGGAAUAUUGCACAAUGGGCGCAAGCCUGAUGCAGCCAUGCCGCGUGUAUGAAGAAGGCCUUCGGGUUGUAAAGUACUUUCAGCGGGGAGGCGUUACCCGCAGAAGAAGCACCGGCUAACUCCGUGCCAGCAGCCGCGGUAAUUC
rnacentral:rRNA from 1 species